AAACUUUCGAUGUGGGACCUUUGG
rnacentral:siRNA from 1 species